GAUGAACGCUAGCGGCAGGCUUAAUACAUGCAAGUCGAGGGGCAGCACAGAUAGCAAUAUUGGGUGGCGACCGGCAAACGGGUGCGGAACACGUACACAACCUUCCUUUUGGUGGGGGAUAGCCUUUGGAAACGGAGAUUAAUACCCCAUAAGAUAUUGGGACCGCAUGGUUUUGAUAUUAAAGAUUUAUUGCCAGAAGAUGGGUGUGCGUAUGAUUAGGUAGUUGGUGAGGUAAAGGCUCACCAAGCCGACGAUCAUUAACUGGUGUGAGAGCACGACCAGUCACACGGGAACUGAGACACGGGCCCGACUCCUACGGGAGGCAGCAGUAAGGAAUAUCGGUCAAUGGACGGAAGUCUGAACCAGCCAUGCCGCGUGGAGGAUGAAGGUCCUCUGGAUUGUAAACUUCUUUUAUAUGGGGCGAAAAAGGGCCAUUCUUGGUCAACUGACGGUACCAUAUGAAUAAGCACCGGCUAACUCCGUGCCAGCCGCCGCCGUAAAAC
rnacentral:rRNA from 1 species